GAUGAACGCUAGCUACAGGCUUAACACAUGCAAGUCGAGGGGUAACGAGAGGAAAGCUUGCUUUCCUUGUCGACGACCGGCGCACGGGUGAGUAACGCGUAUCCAACCUGCCCCCAACUAGGGAAUAACCUUGCGAAAGUAAGACUAAUACCCUAUAAUUUCCUCAGAUGUCAUCUGACGAGGAAUAAAGAUUUAUCGGUUGUGGAUGGAGAUGCGUCUGAUUAGCUUGUUGUCGGGGUAACGGCCCACCAAGGCAACGAUCAGUAGGGGUUCUGAGAGGAAGGUCCCCCAAAUUGGAACUGAGCCACGGGCCAAACUCCUACGGGAGGCAGCAGUGAGGAAUAUUGGUCAAUGGGCGGAAGCCUGAACCAGCCAAGUAGCGUGCAGGAUGACGGCCCUAUGGGUUGUAAACUGCUUUUAUACAGGAAUAAAGUUAGCCACGUGUGGUUAUUUGUAGGUACUGUAUGAAUAAGGACCGGCUAAUUCCGUGCCAGCCGCCGCCGUAA
rnacentral:rRNA from 1 species